UUGUCUUCAGGGCAGGGUGAAAUUCCCGAUCGGCGGUACAGUCCGCGAGCCGCAAGGCCGACCCGGUGAAACUCCGGGACCGACAGUAUAGUCUGGAUGGAAGAAGACG
rnacentral:ncRNA from 2 species